ACUAUUGGAAACGAUAGCUAAUACCGCAUAAGAGUAGAUGUUGCAUGACAUUUGCUUAAAAGGUGCAAUUGCAUCACUACCAGAUGGACCUGCGUUGUAUUAGCUAGUUGGUGGGGUAAAGGCUUACCAAGGCGACGAUACAUAGCCGACCUGAGAGGGUGAUCGGCCACACUGGGACUGAGACACGGCCCAG
rnacentral:rRNA from 1 species